rnacentral:rRNA from 1 species
GACGAACGCUGGCGGCGUGCUUAACACAUGCAAGUCGAACGGAAAGGCCCUGCUUGUGUGGGGUGCUCGAGUGGCGAACGGGUGAGUAACACGUGAGUAACCUGCCCUUGACUUUGGGAUAACUUCAGGAAACUGGGGCUAAUACCGGAUAGGAGCUCCUGCUGCAUGGUGGGGGUUGGAAAGUUUCGGCGGUUGGGGAUGGACUCGCGGCUUAUCAGCUUGUUGGUGGGGUAGUGGCUUACCAAGGCUUUGACGGGUAGCCGGCCUGAGAGGGUGACCGGCCACAUUGGGACUGAGAUACGGCCCAGACUCCUACGGGAGGCAGCAGUGGGGAAUAUUGCACAAUGGGCGGAAGCCUGAUGCAGCAACGCCGCGUGCGGGAUGACGGCCUUCGGGUUGUAAACCGCUUUCGCCUGUUACGAAGCGUGAGUGACGGUAAUGGGUAAAGAAGCACCGGCUAACUACGUG